GAUGAACGCUGGCGGCGUGCCUAAUACAUGCAAGUCGAGCGAACAGACGAGGAGCUUGCUCCUCUGACGUUAGCGGCGGACGGGGGAGUAAAACGUGGAUAACCUACCUAUAAGACUGGGAUAACUUCGGGAAACCGGAGCUAAUACCGGAUAACAUGUUGAACCGCAUGGUUCAACAGUGAAAGACGGUCUUGCUGUCACUUAUAGAUGGAUCCGCGCCGCAUUAGCUAGUUGGUAAGGUAACGGCUUACCAAGGCAACGAUGCGUAGCCGACCUGAGAGGGUGAUCGGCCACACUGGAACUGAGACACGGUCCAGACUCCUACGGGAGGCAGCAGUAGGGAAUCUUCCGCAAUGGGCGAAAGCCUGACGGAGCAACGCCGCGUGAGUGAAGAAGGUCUUCGGAUCGUAAAACUCUGUUAUUAGGGAAGAACAAAUGUGUAAGUAACUAUGCACGUCUUGACGGUACCUAAUCAGAAAGCCACGGCUAACUACGUG
rnacentral:rRNA from 1 species